rnacentral:rRNA from 1 species
AUUGAACGCUGGCGGCAUGCCUUACACAUGCAAGUCGAACGGUAACAGGUUAAGCUGACGAGUGGCGAACGGGUGAGUAAUACAUCGGAACGUGCCCAGACGUGGGGGAUAGCUCGGCGAAAGCCGGAUUAAUACCGCAUAAGCUCUGAGGAGGAAAGCGGGGGACCGUAAGGCCUCGCGCGUUUGGAGCGGCCGAUGGCAGAUUAGGUAGUUGGUGGGGUAAAGGCUUACCAAGCCUACGAUCUGUAGCUGGUCUGAGAGGACGACCAGCCACAAUGGGACGGGGACACGGCCCAGACUCCUACGGGAGGCAGGAGUGGGGAAAUUUUGACAAUGGGCGAAAGGCUGAUCCAGCAAUGCCGCGUGCAGGAUGAAGGCCUUCGGGUUGUAAACUGCUUUUGUACGGAACGAAAAGGCGCCUACUAAUACUGGGUGUUGAUGACGGUACCGUAGGAAUAAGCACCGGCUAACUACGUGCCAGCCGCCGCGGUAA